AUACGGAGGAUCCGAGCGUUAUCCGGAUUUAUUGGGUUUAAAGGGUGCGCAGGCGGGAGAUUAAGUCGGCGGUGAAAUUUUGCAGCUCAACUGUAAAAGUGUCUUCGAAACUGGGUUCCUUGAGGGUUGAUGAAGUAAGCGGAAUUUGUGGUGUAGCGGUGAAAUGCAUAGAUAUAACGAGGAACUCCGAUUGCGCAGGCAGCUUACUAAACUACUACUGACGCUCAGGCACGAAGGCGUGGGGAUCAAACAGGAUUAGAUACCCUGGUAGUCCACGCAGUAAACGAUGAUUACUAGCUGUUUGCGAUACAAUGUAAGCGGCUGAGCGAAAGCGUUAAGUAAUCCACCUGGGGAGUACGUUCGCAAGAAUGAAACUCAAAGGAAUUGACGGGG
rnacentral:rRNA from 1 species